rnacentral:rRNA from 1 species
AUGCUCCGACAUGACGCAUGUCGUGUCGGGAAAGAUUCAUCGGUAUGGGAUGGGGUCGCGUCCUAUCAGCUUGAUGGCGGGGUAACGGCCCACCAUGGCUUCGACGGGUAGCCGGCCUGAGAGGGCGACCGGCCACAUUGGGACUGAGAUACGGCCCAGACUCCUACGGGAGGCAGCAGUGGGGAAUAUUGCACAAUGGGCGCAAGCCUGAUGCAGCGACGCCGCGUGCGGGAUGACGGCCUUCGGGUUGUAAACCGCUUUUGACUGGGAGCAAGCCCUUCGGGGUGAGUGUACCUUUCGAAUAAGCACCGGCUAACUACGUGCCAGCAGCCGCGGUAAUACGUAGGGUGCAAGCGUUAUCCGGAAUUAUUGGGCGUAAAGGGCUCGUAGGCGGUUCGUCGCGUCCGGUGUGAAAGUCCAUCGCUUAACGGUGGAUCCGCGCCGGGUACGGGCGGG